AAUCAACGCUGGCGGCGUGCCUCAGACAUGCAAGUCGAACGAUUAAAGCUCUCUUCGGAGAGUGCAUAGAGUGGCGCACGGGUGAGUAACACGUAAGUAAUCUACCUUCGAGUGGGGAAUACCGUCCGGAAACGGACGCUAAUACCGCAUAAUGCAGCGGCAUCGCAAGAUGACAGUUGUUAAAGAUUUAUCGCUUGAAGAGGAGCUUGCGGCGGAUUAGCUAGUUGGUAAGGUAAUGGCUUACCAAGGCUACGAUCUGUAACCGGUCUAAGAGGACGGUCGGUCACACUGACACUGAAUAACGGGUCAGACUCCUACGGGAGGCAGC
rnacentral:rRNA from 1 species